GAUCCACACUCCUCGCUCCUUGGAACAUCCAUGUUUCCGCAUCGAUUUUGACUGCAUUUUCGUGUUGGGUGGAGGUCAUCAGUUCGCAUGUGGAAUCCGGAGAGGGCAUCUGCUUUGGUUGAUUUAGACAGAUCUGUUCAUACGCACCCCCUCCCUCCCCCGUGCACCCCCAAAUGCUCUGCAUCGAGCUCAUCACAUUGAUUUCUGGGGGAUUUUCGUGGUUUGUUCUGGUUUUUGGGGAGGUCAGGGGAUAGGGAUUUCACGCUCGCGCACUAACCGCUGGGAAUCGUAGUACACAUCAAUCCUCUGCAUUGGGUGGGUGCAGAUGCAGAGGAUUUUUUUAGCAUAUACAUGUUCAUUGGGGUGUCAGGAACACACCCAUGCUCACAUCCUGUUGGUUUUUUCGCAUCAAUUAGCAGGGACUUUUACCGGUUUUUGUUUGCAUUUUA